GGGUGACUUCCGUCUCAUUCACCGCAAUCCAUUCCAGUCCCCACACGGCCUAUCUUCUUCCUCGGCACCCUGUGCGGAAGCUAUGGCCGGCGGCCGUGGUGGAGAGCAGCGCCGGCACAGAUCUCCAGCCGGGCGCAUUUCCUCUCCGUCCUAUCGCCGGUCGUCCUCUCCUUCAUCUCGUAGACAUGCCUCUCCUUCCUCUCGCCGAAGUCCAAGCCCAUCGAGCUCAGAAGAGGUGAGUUCUCAUGCUCCUACUGAGGAGCAGACCGACCCCUUCGAUUGCCGGCCGGGGCACCACUGUGUAAGGUGCGAGCGGUACAUUGGCCGUUGGGAGGCGAAUCGGCGGGAGGGUAGUAGCAGUGCUGCGAGGGCGCCAUGUCAGGGGAUUGGUGGAUGCAGCGCACCCUCAUCCCCCGCACGCACUCGAUCCAAUUCGCUGGUCGGUGAAGGUGAUGACGGCCACAACACAUCUAACAAUCGAUCUACUGGGCGUGCAACAAACCAUUCAUCACCAUUGACUCCGACAUCCUCUGUUACUGUUUUUCCUGACGGCAUGGAGGAUGACACUUGGGGUGGAGUGAACCAUGAGUCUUUGGUCAGGUGCCGGCAUGGCAAACACCCAAGGCGCAUGUUCUGCCGGAAAGGCAAGCAUACUGGGCGACGCUUCUUGUGCUGUCCCUUGGAGGACAAGUCGAAGAGGUGUCGUUUUUUGCACUAGAUGGAGGAAGAAUGGCCUCCAAGAGCCCAGCACGUCAUCCUGACCCUCUGGGAUAUGGUUGAUCAAUUCAUGGAAAAGACAGAUCGCAACCAGGUAGACAUGAUGGCAGAAAGAGCUCUAAAGAAUGAGACCUUGGAAGAAAAGGAAGCUCUCCAAGUGCAGAAGGAAGAUUUGGAAUUGGAGAAGCUGGAGCUUUUUAAGACAGAAGGAGGUGCUUCAAAUCGAGAAGGAAGAGGUGGCCAUGCGGUGGAGGUUCUCAGUCUUGCUGCUGUGCAUUGCAAGUCAUAGUUAGGAAUGAACUAGGGGAGAAGAAGAGGAUAUGGAUGGUGGUAGUGUGCUUGGUUGGGGCUUUGUUUGCCAUGUUGUUUGGUAUUGUGCUGAAGAUGAAGUGAUGGUCACUGCUCGGAGGGCUUAUGUUGGUUCCAACUUUUGCUUGCGACUGGUUCUGGUGGUUUAAUCAGCCAUUAGGUGUUGUGUCACAUGUUUCAUACUACUGCUAUUGUAAUUUGAAAUAUGACGCUAAGGCAUGCUUUUGUAAAAUGGAUGGUAGUAGUGUGCUUGAUUUAAGAACAAUGAGCCAACUCUUGUGAUUUGCCAACUCCCAAAACUAUAAGCCAAUUAUUGUGACUGUGAA